rfam:Erinaceus europaeus unplaced genomic scaffold scaffold00826, whole genome shotgun sequence
UACCUGGUUGAUCCUGCCAGUAGCAUAUUCUUGUCUCAAAGAUUAAGCCAUGCAUGUCUAAGUACGCACGGCAGGUACAGUGAAACUGAGAAUGGCUCAUUAAAUCAGUUAUGGUUCAUUGGUCACUUGCUCCUCUCCUACUUGGACGACUGUGGUAAUGCCGAUGGGCGCUGACCCCUUUCACGGGGGGGGGGGGGGAAUGCGUGCAUUUAUCAGAUCAAAACCAACCCGGUCAGCCUCCUUCCGGCUCCAGCCAGGGGGGGCCGGGCGCUGGCGGCUUUGGUGACUCUAGAUAACCUCAGGCAGAUCGCAUGCCCCCCAUGGCAGCGAUGACCCAUUGGAACGUCUGCCCUAUCAACUUUCGAUGGUAGUCGCCGUGCCUACCAUGGUGACCACGGGUGACGGGGAAUCAGGGUUCGAUUCCGGAGAGGGAGCCUGAGAAACAGCUACCACAUCCAAGGAAGGCAGCAGGUGCACAAAUUACCCACUCCUGACCCAGGAAAGUAGUGACGAAAAAUAACAAUACAGGACUCUUUCGAGGCCCUGUAAUUGGAAAGAGUCCACUUUAAAUCCUUGAAUGAGGAUCCGUUGAAGGGCAAGUCUGGUGCCAGAAGCCAUGGUAAUUCCAGCUCCAAUAGCGUAUAUUAAAGUUGCUGCAGUUAAAAAGCUCGUAGUUGGAUCUUGGGAGUGGGCAGGCAGUCCUCCGUGAGGUGAGCCACCGCCUGUCCCCACCCUGCCUCUCGGCGCCCCCUCAAUGCUCUUAGCUGAGUGUCCCAUGGGGCCCGAAGCAUUUACUUUGAAAAAAUUAGUGUUCAAAGCAUGCCUGAGCCGCAUGGAUACCACAGCUAGGAAUAAUGGAAUAGGACCGCUGUUGGGAUGAGCUUCACUGACAGGAGACAGAUGACCAGGGACUCAUGGCUGGGUUGUACGCAGUAUCUCUUUAUUCAUGCAGAACGCAGCACAAUCUAAGCCAAGCUAAGCUAAACCUAAACUAAACUGAAAACUCACAAACAUGUCCUUAUAUAUACUGCCAAGUAGGGUGUAAACAGGAUGUGACAUAGAGACAGAGAGAAAAGUGACUGGUGAAAAUCAGGGUGUGACAAGGAGAGGGGGCGGAGCAGGUGAGAAUUCUACCACUGAACCACCAAUGCCCUGGAGGGAGGGUGGUGCUUAGUUAGUGAUUUAUGUAAAUAGACCACAGCUUUGAGUGGGAUCAAACCAAUGCCAUGCAGGCAUGCUGGUGCUUAGUCAUGUAAAUAGAAUAAUGUUAAGCAUGGGGGAUUAAACCAAAUGAAACAGAAGGGGUUUUUAGAAGCAGAAUUAGAAGCAUACCAACAGACCGCGGUUUUAUUUUGUUGGUUUUUGGAACUGAGGCCAUGAUUAAGAGGGAUGACUGGGGGCAUUCGUAUUGCACCGCUAGAGGUGAAAUUCUUGGACCGGCGCAAGACGGACCAGAGCGAAAGCAUUUGCCAAGAAUGUUUUCGUGAAUCAAGAACAAAAGUCGGAGGUUCAAAGACAAUCAGAUACCGUCAUAGUUCCGACCAUAAACAAUGCCAACUGGCAAUGUGGCGGCAUUAUUUCCAUGACCCGCUGGGCAGCUUCCGGGAAACCCAAGUCUUUGGGUUCCGGGGGGAGUAUGGUUGCAAAGCUGAAACAUAAAGGAAUUGACAGAAGGGCACCUGUUGAUUGAUUUGGUCUUACUCCCCCCACUUCUGGGAGAUUGUGGUUUAGUCUUUGCCUUUUUGUGCUUCUCCCUUCUCCCUGACCCCUAUCCUACAUACUUCCUGAGUUCCUGGGGCUGCCACUGGAGGAGAAAGAUGCAGGACAGAACUGUGUGGUGAUUAGGUGUUGGGCUGUUUGCCCACUCGUGAAUAAAGAUUAAACUAUGUUCUCAGCUCAGCCUUGUGUCCCUGGUCUCUGUGUCCCACCUGCAAAGCUAGCCCAGCAUACUGGCGCCCCGAACUUUGAUGACAGGCACCACCAGGAGUGGAGCCUGCAGCUUAAUUUGACUCAACACUGGCCCAGACACAGAAAGGAUCGACAAAUUGAUCGCUCUUUCUUGAUUCCGUGGAUGGUGGUGCAUGGCCAUUCUUAGUGGAGCGAUUUUUCUGGCUAAUUCCGAUAAUGAAGGAGACUCUGGCAUGCUAACUAGUGAUUCCACCCCUGAGCAGUCGGCGUCCCCCAACUUCUUAGAGGGACAAUUGGUGUUCAGCCACCCGAGAUGGAGCAAUAACAGGUCUGUGAUGCCAUUAGAUGUCCCAGGCUGCACGCUCGCUACACUAACUGGCUCAGCAUGUGACUACCCUACGCUGGCAGGUGCGGGUAACCCGUUGAACCCUAUUCAUGAUGGGGGUAGGGGAUUGCAAUUAUUACCCAUGAAUGAGGAAUUCCCAGUAAGUGCGGGUCAUAAGCUUGCGUUGAUUAAGUCCCUGCCCUUUGUACACACCGCCCGUCGCUACUACCGAUUGGAUGGUUUAGUGAGGCACUUGGAUCGUCCCCUCCAGGGUCGGCCCAUGGCCCUGGCAAAGCGCUGAGAAGAUAGUCAAAUUUGACUAUCUAGCGGAAGUAAAAGUCGUAACAAGGUUUCCGUAGGUAAACCUGCAGAAGUAUCAUUA